rnacentral:misc_RNA from 1 species
AGGAUAAAAAUUAUGGAUAACACAUUAGCUAGUAAGCUUUAUAAAGAACGUGUCGCUUCAAUUAUGAGAAUGCCUCUAGAUGACUUAGACGACAGUAAGCUAUGUAAUUUAUUUGAAAACCAUACAUCUCCAUGCGAUGCCGCAAAAGAGCUGAGUUCUCCGAUCCAGAGUGCAUGGUUGAACCGAUAUAUAAAUAAGUAAUACCUAAACUUAAUAUUUGGUUUUUUCUAAAAUCUUGGC